GCUUGCUUUUUGCUGACGAGUGGCGAACGGGUGCGUAACGCGUAUGCAACCUACCUUCUUCUGAGGAAUAGCCCAGAGAAAUUUGGAUUAAAACCUCAUGAUAAUAUUUAUUCGCAUGUUUAAAUAUUUAAAAUUUCGAUGGAAGAAGAUGGGCAUGCGUAACAUUAGUUUGUUGGUGAGGUAAUGGCUCACCAAGACUACGAUGUUUAGGGGGUCUGAGAGGAUGAUCCCCCACACUGGUACUGAGACACGGACCAGACUCCUACGGGAGGCAGCAGUGAGGAAUAUUGGUCAAUGGACGAAAGUCUGAACCAGCCAUGCCGCGUGAAGGAUGACUGCCCUACGGGUUGUAAACUUCUUUUGUAUAGGAAGAAACCCCUCUACGUGUAGAGGGUUGACGGUACUAUUCGAAUAAGCACCGGCUAACUCCGUGCCAGCAGCCGCGGUAAUACGGAGGGUGCGAGCGUUAUCCGGAAUUAUUGGGUUUAAAGGGUGCGUAGGCGGAAAUUUAAGUCAGUGGUGAAAGCCUGCAGCUUAACUGUAGAAUUGCCAUUGAUAC
rnacentral:rRNA from 1 species